ACUGGCACCAGCGCCAAACUCUGAGCUCACUGUUUUGACUGGUUAUAUGUGUUGGGUGAGGGGGAACGUACUUACUGUAGCUCUGAGAAUGGGAAGUGGCAGAGGGGUAGCUGCCAGGCUUAUUUGAUUUGCCAUUUCCCAAGACUCCUUAUUUUAAAGUCAUUCCGUCAAAGCCUGGCUAUAAUGGUUUUUGUGUUCAAUCAAGGGCAGCGGCAAGCAUUGGACAAGGCAUGUUGGGAAAGUGGACUUGGAAGCGCUCUAGGUGAAGUGCCAGGAAGUGAUGACAGCUGUGCGGUUUGUGGAACGUCACACCACAUAGUCUCCUGAAGAAAAGAAUGCUCCGAUUGUUGGCACUGUGAUGAUUCAUGAAGCAUUCCAUUCAACUAGGAGAGUCUGAAUUUCCACCUUUCAACUGGGGAAAGUGCAACGGAAUGACACUUUAUGUCGGACAUCUAACUUGGAAACUCCUGCAGAGAUCUUCAACUCCCAUUUCAUCGAGAUGCAGGACCACCCAUUGGGCUCCGAGGAGAGAGAUUCCCUGCACUCCAUCUCUUUGGAAUAUUAAUGGGCUUCUCCUGGGAAAACUGCCCACUGAAUGGGCCACUCCAUUGCUGUCUCUGUUUCCGCUCAGCUGUCCUCGGGGUAUGUGAGGGUGUGCACUCCUUUGGUCCAGUCCAGCCUGGUGAACUCUGAAGGACACCUGAAGCUUUUGUAUUGAUGUUUCAUUAAAGAGCACAUGAAAUAAAAAUUGUUGUUGCUUUUAGUCCAUGUAUGUUAUUUUUGAGGCCAUCCAUAUGCUAAUGUACUCCUUAACGUUUACAGGAUUAACUUUAAACAGAAAACAUCUGAAAUGUACAGUCUUUCUCUUCCUAGAAAACAUCCCCAAAAUAUUGAUGAUUCAUCUUGCAUCUCUACACAGAUUUUUUUCCAAUCCAAUUCUUUCUCAAUUGAAAAAAUUACC